AGUCUUUUUCAGAAGAUGUGCCCAUGAGCAGUUGCAUUAGAUAAAAUAAGAGAGCAGCAUCUCAUUGUAUAGAAGGACAGGACAGUCCCCCUAAGGACCUGCAUAGCCCUACUACAGAACUGGCUGGCACAGCACAGAGCAAGUCCCAGGGAUUUGAAAGCAGAUGAAAGAUUUCACCAUCUGCUGCUGAAGUGGGAGCACGAGGAAUCUGCCUGGCUCAGAUCUCCCCUGAUCAUUUUGCUGAAGAAGGUCAUAAUUCUGCUGAUGUCUGGACUGUGCUAGCCACCUCUUGCAAGCAUUUAUCUAAACUUCCAUCACUGAAAGCUAAGCUAAAGCUUAGACCAUUGGUGUAAUGAAUGAAUGGUCAACUCGGUGUUAUCCUGGGUAUUUGGUGGCUCCUACUGGAUUCCAUGGAUAUCAGCAUCUGAACUGGAUAUUCGCCUGGAAGCAACAAGUUCCCUCCAAGUUCGCAAAAACUUCUUGUAUGACUGUGAUCCAGUACAUGGAUCCAGGACACCACAUCUCUUGGUACAUGGGAAAUACUGAAAGGUGUGUAAGCUGUUGUGGCCUUGUCUACCAGAACAACCGUUGGACUGUUCAACCUUCAAAAGCUAUCACCAACUCAUCAUGCUGCUGUGGUGAUGACAGCAGGACCAUUUCCAGGGGAUGUCUCUUCUCAAGUGGUCUACUCCAAAUGUGGUCAGAAGGCUGUCAAGUUACUAUUGAAAGCUUGAAGGCAUUCCUGUGAGAACAGGAGGGACAAGGGGAUAAGUGAUGAUGGUAUGUCCUUACUUCACUGACAGUUUAAAUUCUGUAGCAUUAGACCUUGGCAAGUGCUAUGGCCAAGGAAAUGUUUGCUGGCACUAAUGUUCUCCUAAAUUCUGAUCAACAACCUUAUUGCCUGUGCUGUUAACAUGUGGGAGCUCAUGGGUCAGCAGGGCUGGACCUAUUCAGACCCCGAGUAUUUGCUGAGGUGCUGUAGCAGCCAGCGAUAAACUAGGCAGUUUUCCAGUGUGUAACCAGUAUCCCAUGACAGUUCCUUUGGUCAGGCUGAUGGGAUGCAGCUAAAUUCUUGGUUUUACUGUAAUUUAAAAAAAAAAAACAACAAACAAAACAAGGAGUAAUUCACAAAAGCAUCUAGGUCCAAUUAAAUAUGUUUGUAUUCAAGUCCUUCUUCAUUUUUAAUUAUUUGUCUUCAAUUACUGUGCAGUUGUUGUAUGCAUUGUUCUGCAGAGGUGAAUUUCUGUAGUUUGUCAGCUGAUCCUUUUUUUCCCUUGCCUAUAUUAGCCAACAGAGAUUUUCUGCUUAAUUAUUUAACAUUUGCAAAACUCUUCUGAGCUCUUUGAAGCACAAAAACUGCCAGUAACUUCAAGCCGUGGCUGCUAUGGUCUACAGUGUUUCUGAAGUGUAUGCUACUUGUUUUUUUACUAUUCAGGACAACUGAAGAUCAUAUGAAACUUUAUUUGGGAGAUGCUAGCCACGGUGCUUUGCUUAUAAUUAGUCAGCAAGCAACAUUUCUGCAGGAAAUGUCAAAUUGUGCAAGAUUUGACUUU